rnacentral:lncRNA from 10 species
AAAUUAAAAAUAGGAAAAGGACUACCGAUCUAAAAACUAGGCUCUUUUACUAACUCCAGGAUAUUUGCUGGUAAACCUUUGUGUGCAGCUCUCUGAAACAGCUCCAGAAUUCUUGACUCUAGGAAGAAAAUGGUACAUAGCAAGUUAAUGUAGUAGAAUACUUACUGCAGUUGAAAUCAGAGGAUCUGGAUUUAUUUCUCUAUUAUUUUCUGCUUUGUGACCAGGGGCAAGUUUAGUCAUCUCUCUUAGACUCAGGUUUUAUCAUUAAAAAAAUGUGAUAAGCUGGUUUUACUUAUGCCAUAAAGUUGUUGUGAGAUUAAAAAUCAAAUAAAAAUGUUUUUCAGCUUUGAAAACAGCCCCGCAGCAUCAUAAUGCAAGCAUUAUUAUUAAAAUCUGGGAAUGACGGUGCUAGGACAUUGGGUAAGAGCCAGGACAUCUGGAUGGUUAUGAGCCUAGAGGAGUCAUUUAACCUUCUGAUACUUCAGGGUUUCCAGUAGCUAAAUAGUGAUAUUAUUAACAUCAUCUGCCUCACAGGGUUUUAGGAUAUUUACUAUCCCAAAUAAAGCUGCCUUGGGACAUUUGACUUUUUUUUCUCAUUGUUGAGGUCUUAGCUAGUGAUAUAAUAAGAAGUGAGGGAUCCACAAAUAAAUUAGGUCAGAAAUUACCUUAUUAUUGUAAAAUACAGGAAUCUGGAUAUUUCUUGCAAUCCUGUUUAUUUUCUCCUCUGGAGCUGGAGAAAGGAGGCAUUUGGCAGAUAUUUCCUUUUGUCUGAAUCUGGCUUUCUCUCCAUUUCAUUUGGCACUUUCUCUACUUACGAAAGCCAUGGGUAAUUAACUUCCAUCUACUAAGUCACUGAGGUCCUCUGCACUACUUCCUCAAGAAUUAAUUUCUAAAAUGAACUGCCAGCUAGGUUUUCCUGCACUUAAGCGGUAAACUCCUG